rnacentral:rRNA from 1 species
GACGAACGCUGGCGGCGUGCUUAACACAUGCAAGUCGAACGGAAAGGCCCUGCUUUUGUGGGGUGCUCGAGUGGCGAACGGGUGAGUAACACGUGAGUAACCUGCCCUUGACUUUGGGAUAACUUCAGGAAACUGGGGCUAAUACCGGAUAGGAGCUCCUGCUGCAUGGUGGGGGUUGGAAAGUUUCGGCGGUUGGGGAUGGACUCGCGGCUUAUCAGCUUGUUGGUGGGGUAGUGGCUUACCAAGGCUUUGACGGGUAGCCGGCCUGAGAGGGUGACCGGUCAGCAUGGGACUGAGAUGAGGGCGCAAAUCCUAACGGCGGAAGCAGUGGGGAAUUAUGCAUCAUGGGCGGAAGACCGGAGCGGAAAACACGCGUGAGGGAAGUUGGCCUUCGGGGUAAGAAGCCAUUUAGCACGGGGUCGACAGUGAGUGACGGUUAAGGGAAAAGAAGGAUCGGGUUAAUACGUU